rnacentral:rRNA from 1 species
UACGUAGGGCGCAAGCGUUGUCCGGAAUUAUUGGGCGUAAAGAGCUCGUAGGCGGUCUGUCGCGUCCGUUGUGGAAACUCGAGGCUCAACCUCGGGCUUGCAGUGGAUACGGGCAGACUAGAGUGCGGUAGGGGAGACUGGAAUUCCUGGUGUAGCGGUGGAAUGCGCAGAUAUCAGGAGGAACACCGAUGGCGAAGGCAGGUCUCUGGGCCGCAACUGACGCUGAGGAGCGAAAGCAUGGGGAGCGAACAGG